rnacentral:lncRNA from 1 species
GUAAAUUUAAAGAAAAUAUGAAGACUGAGAUUUUGCCGUAUAAUAGCAGCUGCUAAAUAUUUUAUAUUCUGGUUUUUUGUUUUUUUUUUUCUUUCUUUUUUUUAAUUCUGCUAAGUAUAGGUAAGAUACUUCAGUGAUUUCCCUUCCCUUCAGCAUUUCUUUCCAAUUAACCCCAGAAUCCUUUUUCUCCAGACAUUUUCCUUAAAAGUUUCCGUGUAAAACCAAGCGAGCUGAAGGACAAACUCUUCAUCAUCCACGAGGAGAGUGGGGGGCUCACAGAUGAGCAGAUUACAGCACUGAGAAGAUACUUGCCCACACCCAAAGAUGCAGAGAGGUACCUGUCCUUCAAGGGGCCGUGCUCAGAGCUGCACGUGGUUGACCAGUUCAUGUUGGAGAUGUGUAAAAUCCCCCAGCUGGGCCAGAGGCUGGAUCUGCUGCUCAGCGUCCGUGAGCUGCCCGAGAGCAUCAGAGACCUGGAGCCUCUGAUCACCCAGAACAUCCAAGCCAGCAAGCAGCUGCAGUCCAGCCCCAAGUUUGUGGCUGUCCUGGAGUACAUUUUAGCCAUGGGGAACCACCUGAAUGAAAAAGCUGGGAAGGAGGUGGCCAGAGGGUUCCGACUGUCCUCUCUGGCCAAGCUCUCCCUGCUGAGGGGCAGGGACAGGACCUUCACCCUCCUGCACGCCCUGGCGGAGCAGAUCCUCUCGCAGCAGCCCGAGCUGGCCACCUUCCCCCAGGAGCUGACCCAGUUUGAGGCUGUUCCUGAUGGUGAGAGGAGGGCAGGGGGGAAAAUAAUCAAAAAAUAAAAAAUGAAG